ensembl:lncRNA
CCAGUCCAUUCUUUCUCCAGUCCAUUCUUUCUCCAGUCCAUUCUUUCUCCAGUCCAUUCUUUCUCCAGUCUUUUCUUUCUCCAGUCUUUUUCUUUUCUUUCUCAGUCUUUUCUUUCUCCAGUCCAUUCUUUCUCCAGUCCAUUCUUUCUCCAGUCCAUUCUUUCUCCAGUCCAUUCUUUCUCCAGUCCAUUCUUUCUCCAGUCCUUUCUCCAGUCUUUUCUUUCUCCAGUCUUUUCUUUCUCCAGUCUUUUCUUUCUCCAGUCCAUUCUUUCUCCAGUCCAUUCUUUCUCCAGUCCAUUCUUUCUCUCAUCUUUUCUUUCUCCAGUCUUUUCUUUCUCCAGUCCAUUCUUUCUCCAGUCCAUUCUUUCUCA